UGUAUAUCAAAGGUGUUCAUGUUUUGAUGUGCAAAUUCCCUGUACUGGGUGGUGAGAGUUGAGGACUCAAUGACAUCAUAAUUUUGUGGCAGCUAUAACGUUGUUGCGGAGUCCUAUAGCUGAAUUUGGUUACAUGGCAGCUUAAGGAGCUAUUCAGGAUCAGACAAAAAGUAAGUAACCUUGAUUCUAUAAAAUGUUGUUUUACUUUGUAACAUGAAGCCAGUCUUGUGCAAACAUAAGCGCUCUAAUGGCGAGAGAGAAAAUUGCAUCUACUGAGGAACAGUAAAAAGGUCAGAAUGGUAAAAACCCACAUAGAAUGGACAAUGGUAUUUCAAUAAGAAUAAGAAAAGAAAC